UACGUAGGGUGCAAGCGUUGUCCGGAAUUAUUGGGCGUAAAGAGCUCGUAGGCGGUUUGGUGAGUCGGGUGUGAAAUCUCCACGCUCAACGUGGAGGGGCCACCCGAUACUGCCAUGACUAGAGUCCGGUAGGGGAGUGUGGAAUUCCCGGUGUAGCGGUGAAAUGCGCAGAUAUCAGGAGGAACACCGGUGGCGAAGGCGGGUCUCUGGGCCGAUACUGACGCUGAGGAGCGAAAGCGUGGGGAGCGAACAGG
rnacentral:rRNA from 1 species